UACGUAGGGUGCGAGCGUUAAUCGGAUUUACUGGGCGUAAAGCGUGCGCAGGCGGCCCGUUAAGACAGGUGUGAAAUCCCUGGGCUCAACCUAGGAAUUGCGCUUGUGACUGGCGGGCUCGAGUACGGUAGAGGGGGGUGGAAUUCCUGGUGUAGUAGUGAAAUGCGUAGAGAUCAGGAGGAACACCGAUGGCGAAGGCAGCCCCCUGGGCCUGUACUGACGCUCAUGCACGAAAGCGUGGGGAGCAAACAGG
rnacentral:rRNA from 1 species